ACUCCUACGGGAGGCAGCAGUGGGGAAUAUUGGACAAUGGGGGCAACCCUGAUCCAGCAAUUCUGUGUGCACGAUGAAGGUUUUCGGAUUGUAAAGUGCUUUCAGCAGGGAAGAAAAAAAUGACGGUACCUGCAGAAGAAGCGACGGCUAAAUACGUGCCAGCAGCCGCGGUAAUACGUAUGUCGCAAGCGUUAUCCGGAAUUAUUGGGCAUAAAGGGCAUCUAGGCGGCCAGAUAAGUCUGGGGUGAAAACUUGCGGCUCAACCGCAAGCCUGCCCUGGAAACUAUGUGGCUAGAGUACUGGAGAGGUGGACGGAACUGCACGAGUAGAGGUGAAAUUCGUAGAUAUGUGCAGGAAUGCCGAUGAUGAAGAUAGUUCACUGGACGGUAACUGACGCUGAAGUGCGAAAGCUAGGGGAGCAAACAGGAUUAGAAACCCGGGUAGUCCU
rnacentral:rRNA from 1 species